GCGGGUGGCGCGCGGCAGCAGGGUUGGGCUCUCGCCGUGAGUCGACGAAGGGAGCGCGGGCGCGCGCCCGCGUCCGCGCACUGAGAGUCGCCUCGGCCGCUCGCUUUCUCGACUCCCGCCUCGCGCCUCGAUCCUGUUCCGCCUCCCUCGGCCCUCCUGCCCGCCCCCACUCGUCGGCCCUCAGAUAUUACAGGGUGCCUCCUGAAUGCCGGGUUGCAAUCAAGAGCAAGAGAUGGGGCGAGUGAAAGAGCCUGUUUUCAGGAGCUCAGCAUCAGGAUGACGAUUACCUAGAGGGAGGUGGUGGCCAGCCUCCCCCUCUUCUCUUCAUGCUGAGGCUCUGGUGGGCAGUGCCCAAGCCUGAACUGCCAUCUGUAUGCCAGUGGUUACCCAACUUGUAUUUUCAGUCUUAGCCUCUCUCUGGUCCAGACUUGUCAUUCUAAGGGCCCUUUUUCACUGACUCACAUUGUCUCCUCCCUCCCUGCCUUCCAAACUCAGCCUUUUCCUUUUUCCCUUUCCCACUGACAACAGCUGCACGACCCCCCCGCCCCCCCACGAGGUGAAAAUUCCCAAGAACCCCAUGUCUAACCUAACUCCCUCUCUAUGUCCUGUUGCUUGAGCCAUUCUCAUUAGGCUGCCUGUUCGGAGUUCAUUAUCUCCUAAUUUUUCAUCCAGGAAUUGAUGAAGAAUCACCUACUGCCUCUCCCACACACUGUUUAUUCUUUCAUUUGAUGAUAUCUGUUAAGUGCCCUGAGAUAUGUAACCUCCACUUCCCUCCCAUAUAAGUGAGAUUUCACGUUGAUUACUUCCUUGGCUUUCCUCAUCCCUUAUCCACAUAGCAUGUGUUCAAAAUAAUGAAUAUUAAUUUAAUGUUAAUAGAUAUGUGCUUUCCUGAAUUGUGAGGAUUAAAUGAAAUCAUGUAUAUAGGGAGGAAAAUCCAUUAGAAACCUCAAAAGCAGUUAUGUUUAUUUUUGCUAUUGUCACAUUGUUAGAGUCAGAAUUCUUUUAGCUGCAAGUGACAAAACCAACUCAAACUGGCUUAAGGACUUUAUUGGUUGAUGCAAAAAGCCUCGGGUUAGGUCUUGCCAUUUAAGGUAGGGCUGGAUCCAUCAAUCCGGGUUACCAGGAUCUGUUUUCUAGUUGUGGCUUCAUUUUCAGACAAGUUGUUUCCAUAUGAUAGCCUCAUAGAAGGUACUACCAGCUUAGUCCUAGCAAGAAAAAAGAGUACUUACUCUUCAAUAUUUGCAGCAGAAGUCCCAGGUCUGUUCUUAUGAGGGCAGUUUGAGUCACUUGCUCUUCUCUGAACGUGGAGAAGGCACUGUUUAGAUGAUGGAGGUUGGAUUCAGGUGCAUCCCCUGGAAUGGGGUUUGGCAUUAGCUUCACGUGGUCUAGAAUAAAGGGGUUCUCCAAAGGAAAAUUAGGGUAGGAAUGCUGAGUAAGCAGAACAAACAGAUGUCUACUUUAGUCCUUCCCAAAGGGUGAGCUGCAAUACAUUGCAGACUAUCAGAAUGGUGAUGAACACGGAUGCAGUAGCCAAGAAAAUAGAUGUGUGUUUGUCGUGGUCUUUUUCAGUCUUCAAGAUCUCAGUUAAACAUGAAGUCAACCACUCACUAUGAUGUUAUUUGAGGUUUAGCUUUGAAGUGGAAAUGUACCACAAAUAGUAGAGCCAGAUAAAUACAAAUAAAUAAUUUUAACAGUCCAUUCUAAAAGAUUUCUUUGGUAAUAUUCUGUUGGAAUUGAUUUCUAUCUUUUCAUUUGUUAGGUUCCUGGAAAGUGAAAAUUUCAUUUCUUUGUGGACAGGUACCUAAAAUGUCUCAUUAUUCAUCAAUUAAUGAAAAACAAAUGAAAAUUUGAGAGAGAUAUUCUGAAGAAUAAAAGGAUCAAGUUGGGUCAUUUCUAAAAUGUAAGAUUAUAAGGUUUAACUUGCUAAGACUUUUGAGGGGUUGAAUUAUUGGUAAAUUAUUAUAGAACCACUUAUCUGAGGCUUUUAAAAGUGAUGUGUUACAGAGAUUUAGGGAACUGCAAGAUUGCAGAUAAAGAAUUUAUACUGUCAACUGUUCUAUACUUUACCUUCUGCUUUAAAUGCGGCCUUAUAUUUUGAAGUCAAACAUUUAUUUUCUCUCACUGCGUUCUGAAUUUCCUACCACAGUGCAUUUUGAGAAAUGAAUAUAACAGCAGUCUUCAUAGAUGCCAUAUUCAUGGCAACUCUGUCCCCCGCCAACACCACACCCUGGAAAAAAACCAACUUUCUAUUGUUGGAAUGAGGUAACAUUUUCAGGAAAAGGGAACCAUUUUCUCACAGGAUAUAGAACAAAUUCAACCUUUUAUUAAAUCAAAAUGGAUUCUCUAAUGUUUAUACAUAUCAUAUAGGAUUUCAUCUCUUUCAAUCUUGGUUCAAAGGCCCAGACAGUACCAUUCCCUAGUAUUUAGUCCAUUUGCUCAUAAAGCAGAAGAGAAAAGCUACUUUGUUCCGAAGGGUGUUAGAUUUAGGAUUCCAAGGUUAUUUCAAAUUAAUGCCUGGAACUAGACUAUAAAAUGCAGGAAAGAUUCUAAGUUGUUCAAAGAUGAAAUAUCUUAACUUUCACCAAAAACUCUGUCUUCUGGGUAUUUUUUGUUUUUCUGCCUUUCCAGAUUUAUUUUAAAUACAACAUUUUUGCUGUUUACAUUUUUAAAAGUUACAUUUCAAAAUUGUUCAUAAUUGGACACUUUCAUAAAAUGUAGGCAAAUGCAGUUUUACUUUUUAAUGAAGGACAAGUCUGUUGAUAACAUUUUGAUUCUUAAAAUUUUUUUUAUCUUAUAAAAAUGAAACAAUGCAUUUAAAGUGUCUUCAGCUCUUAUGUUAAUACCAAAUUAUACAUUUUCUUAGCCCAUGUUCAGGAGAGACAAUAUAUCUUCCAAAUUAAGAGAAGCUGGCACCAUUUUUAAAACAAGGCCUUGAAUCUGCUGUGGUAUGUGCUGGUAGGAAUUUUGUAUGAAGCUGUUAUUGAAGUAGAUGACAUUAAGGUCAAAGGAAAAAAAAAACAGAAAAUAAUGUAAUCCUACAGAGCUGCUCUUAAGAUCUUGAGAGAAAAACCACGUAGGUAACAUCAAACACUAGUUGGAAUCUUUCCAAGAAGUAAUUAUCUGUGUGCUGUUUGUGGUGGUUGAUUAUGGGAACAAACCAAGGUUUAGCCAAUUCAGCAAACAUUUAUGGAGUGCCUGCAAUGUGCAUGUCACUGUUUUAAGGCCUGUGCCUACUGUAAAGGUGACCCACACAUGAUGCCUGCCUUGCAGGACUUGGAGUUCAGCGAUAAUAAGAGAUGCAUACCUGAAAAGCCUAUUUAAGACUCUUCCGGUUCUACAAAGAAGGCUUCUUGAAAGUGGUAGCUUUGAUUACUCUUUGGAUUUAUUUACAUUUAUCCUAUAAUCAGAAGGUAUACAAAACAGACUCACACAUAUAUAAAAUUAAUAGAUUAGAUAGCAUUUAAACAAAUAUUUCAGGUAGGUACUUCAAAUGCAUUUGACAUUUAUCAAAGAAAUGGUAAGUGCUGUCAUCCGUGGGUGGCUGGAUUAACAUGUGGGACUACUUAUCACCAAUUUUGUUAGGGAUCUUAGGGAAAUUCCUGGAUCUUAUAUUCACAAGCAAUUGUAUAAAUACUUCCCACAGCUCAGAGACCUAAUAGGAUGGGGUCUUAGAGAAACAUCUUUUGAGCCACAGACUUCUUUGUUACCAGAAGGAAAAUGAAAGAAGAAAUUUAAAUACCACUUGAAGAGAGGUAAAUAAAUGAGAAAUGGGGCUGAGAGGGCGGGUAUUUUUUUAAAAAUUCAUUAAAUGGAAAAAUCCACAAAUGUUAAUUCUGGUAGAUUUCUUAGAAAUUACAUCAGAGGAGCAUGCUUGGUCUUCCCACCCUCAUUAGGCCUCAGUGACAGGUACUUGAACAACUGAGCCCCUAAUGUGCAUGCUCCCCCACCCCUGAAGCCAGUCUCUGCCCUCCUCUUCCCUCCUCUUGCCCCUGGAAGCUGAUCGCCACCAACUGGCCUCUGGGUGGAUUUGGCCAAUGGAAGCACCUGUAGAGGGAAGAGAGUGAGGUUAGGAUAUUUCUUCCUGCUGUCUCCGUGCUUCCCUGCAGAGAGUGUGAAGAAAUGACCCUGAAAAGCCUCUGGCAGAGGAUUCUUCUUUCAGGAUGGUGUCGCCUCCUCAGCAGCCCAUCCUCCUCCCCUGGACUCAAGCUCUCAUUCCAGUAACACUCCUUCCUCCUUCUCCAUCUUCAGGGGGAGGUUUGCCAGUCGGUGGGUUCUAAGCAUAUCUCGCUGAUUCCCCCCAACCCUGCCGACACCUCUGUAGGUCGUCCCUUCAUUAAAAUCUCUCCAUUUGAACUAUCUGAGUUUAAUUCCAUUUCCUCCUGGUAUCUCAGUGAUACACGGUAUCAGUACAAAAAUCUCGCUUCACCUUCAGAACCAACAGAUUUGAGACAUUUUAUCCUCUGUGGAACCAUUAGUUAUUUUGUCAUUGGUUGUAUCAGAAAAAAAAAUCAGGAAUGCAAAUCCUUCUUUAUUACAGAUUCAGAUUUGCAUAUUACCAAUGUUAUAUAUUUUAAACAAAACUAUUCAUCAUAAGUUUUAAAAAUUAACUACUGGAGUAGUUAAUGAAUCUGAAUGUAAUUAUGUAGCUUUCAUAAUAUUAAAGUAAAAAUACUAAAAGAAGUAUUUCUUAAAGAAGCAAAUGCUCAAUCUCCAAGUAAAUUUUAUUCUAUGCUCUUCCGGUAUAAGAAUAUGUUAAUAUCUUGAAAAAUAUCAUAUUAUUUUGUGAACUCAUAAAGCUAUUUUGAGUUUUUGUAAAAUGAAAACCUUACCAAAAUGUAUUUUAUUGUUGGAAAGCUUGACCGUUACUGCUGUUUAAUUUUUUGAGCUUGUAAACUUUAUUUGUGCAUGUUUUCAACAAAGAAGGAUUUUAUUGUUAUUACAUAAAACAGGUGAUUUCUAGAUUUUAAAAUCACAAAUUGAAAGCAAGGCACAAUAAUAUAUAUUUCAAGAUAUAGGUACUUAGGAGGCAUCCUUUUAGUCAUCUGUUCAAUGUAGCCAUCUAUUUUACACCUACUGUCUACUAUUGUUUGAGGUCCUUGCCAAAGUAUUGCAGGCUAGUUAGGAAACAUAAAACAAUUAGAAAGUAAUCUAUGACAAGUAAGCUAUCUAUAAAUGGCAAUGAAGGGUAGAACAAAUUCAAUGAAAAUAUCUAUUUAAUCCUAGUGUUUACUGGUCUAGAAGAAUAGGCUGAGUAAAUUAGUAUUUCUCUGGCUGUUGUGGUAACACAUUGCAUGCUAUAACAGUUUUAAGUAAUUACAGGUGCAUUGAAAUUUAUCUAUGGCUUUGUCAUCAUAUUCUAAAAUGUCAUGAGUACUUUUUUCUGACCUCAAUUACUAUGAAAUUGGUUUCCAAUAUUUAAUUAACCAAGAAUAUCAAGUCUAUAGGGUAUUAUUAAGGUGAGACUUCUGUAGCCUUUUCAAUAAAGACCAGAAUUUUGGAGUGCCUUGAACCUUAAUCAUUGAUCUUUAAUUCUUAUUAAGUCAACUGCCCACCUUUUAAAGACUGAGGCCCAGGAAGAGUAAGUUUCUCUGAGACAAUGCAUACAGUACAGUGCUUCUUGGGUAUUGGCUCUAAGACCAGAUGCAAAGAAAGGCUAAAAUCCCAUUUCAUUGUUCAUUAGGUGAGAACCCUUUGUUAAGCUGUGUAACCUCUGUGCAUAGUUUCCUCAUCAGCAAAGUCAGAAAAAGUAUGUACCUGAAGGACUGAUUGUAAGGCUGGGAUGAGAGAAUCCAUGUGAUCAGCCCUCACCAACAGGUGCUGCCCAGUUCAUGAGUGCUGCUGCUGUCCUGCCCAAGUACCCAGCUUGCAGAGUGCCAGAGUUAGAGUCCCAGGGGUGUUCUCCACAGCUGCAUGCUUGAUCCAGGCCUAUCAGGUGUUAUUUGUUGACGGAACCAGGCAUCAUCAGCAAACAAAACUGACAAAGCUUCCUGCCCUCUGUGGAAGGCAUCUGAGGAAGAGACUGGAUUUUGUAGCAACAUGUUAUUCUCAUUAUAAACUUUAUCAUUGGAAUACUAAAGCCAAAUCAUCCCCCAUCUCCUUGAUCAGGAUACCCACUUAAUCUAGGCAGCUACACAAUUGUGAGAGCCUUUGUUUUUUUCUGCUGAAACAUCCUUAAAAAGAUACCUCACAACCCAAGAUUUGGCUUUUCUUAAAUACGAUUUUUAAUUUUUUUCAUUUCUAUCUAGAGAUUUAAUUGGAAAUGGAAAAUCAUCAAUUUUCCAAUUAAAUGUCUGUUCCAAUCAACAUUAUACCUUUUAGGUUGUCAUUGUCAUUUUUAAGUUUAAGCAACUUUAAGGAUUUUGAAUCUGGCUGCCUGUAAAUUAAAGGUGAAAGUAAUCAUUGUGUUGGAUUGGAACAUUUUGUCAAUUGAGAGUGGUUUCCUUGUUCUUAGUGUAUGAAAAGUUUAUUUUUCUAAUGUAGAUUAAUAAAGGAGAUAAAGAAAAACAAAAUGAGUGA
rnacentral:lncRNA from 1 species